rnacentral:misc_RNA from 1 species
CAAAGGUGUUCAGGAUGACGCAGGUAAGGCUCACUUUUGUUUUCUUCAAUUAUAAAUCUAGUAGCUAGGCUAUACAAUUGAAGAUACUCUCUUUCAUGUUUCAUAAUUCCUCCACUUCUAUUGAUAUUGUUUGAAACGGAGACUUCGACGCAUUGGGUUGUUCGACAAAUCCUAUUUUUCUACUAUUCUGUUCUUACUCUCAGAAUCUUUAAUGAUAUGUGCCUUCACAGACCCAUAUGUAGGUCAAGAUAAACUACCUAGGAUAGUGUUGCUACAUUGGUUAGUGCCCCUGAACUAUGAGAUAUUAGAAGAAUAGGAUAAAGAUUGUCAUGGCCCUCUGUCUGUACAAUCGUAGCUGAAAUGGCAUACUUUUAGUAGAUUAUAUGCAUGUCUUAAGAAAAUCCUCUACUCAGUAGGCAGGUUGUGCGAACAACACACCAGAUACAGCCAAGACGUGUUGUCAUUUUAUUGUUACCAGGAGGUAAUUCAUACCUACCUAUGACAAUUAUCUGCAGUAGUUGCUAGCUUAAUUACCUUAUGUACUGAGAUCCUCUGCCAUGAUCUGUUGGAAAUCUGCAAAAUGAACGUAAUUUACUUAAUUGAUUGUUGAUUAUCCAUUUAAUCUUCUGUGUUUGAUUCAUAAAUCCUUCUGUGUUUGAUACAAUUGCCUAUCAUCACAAUCCAUUUCAUUCUCAGACUUGGAAUCGUUCAGUAAACACUUUAUCAGUGGAUGUUUGGUUUCACUACAUUUACCUCAUCUUCUCAAGUCAAUUAUACUUUAAUCCAUAAGUAGUUAGGAUUAGGAUUGGUUAUAUGGAUGUAUUUUCUAAUUCACCGGGUUUAGGUUUACAUCUUUUCAAAGAUUUAGGGUCACUAUAAGUGAUUUUUCACUAGUUCCCUCUAUGUCAUUUUCAUUCUUUUGCUUCCCUUUAUAUUUCCUACCACUUCAAUGUGUUCAACCUUUCAUAGUAGAGCAUUUGUCAGUCUACUUCCUCUUCUCUAGGAUGUAUAUUUUGAAAUUUUUCUGGCCAUUCUUUAUCAAGAUCUUGGAGCAUGCCAAUUUGGCAUGGCAUCCAUCAAUCAGUUUCCAUGAGUUUGAAUUAACAGACUAAUAGUCCUUUUAAACUUAUGUUGCAGGGGGACAAAAAUGGGGAUGG